rnacentral:rRNA from 1 species
UACCAGACUCCUACGGGAGGCAGCAGUGGGGGAUAUUGCACAAUGGGGGGAACCCUGAUGCAGCGACGCCGCGUGGGUGAAGAAGUAUUUCGGUAUGUAAAGCCCUAUCGGCAGGGAAGAAAUUGGACGGUACCUGACUAAGAAGCCCUGGCUAACUACGUGCCCGCAGCCGCGGGAAUACGUAGGGGGCAAGCGUUAUCCGGAUUCACUGGGUGUAAAGGGAGCGUAGACGGCCAUGCAAGCCUGGAGUGAAAGCCCGGGGCCCAACCCCGGGACUGCUCUGGGAACUGUGCGGCUGGAGUGCGGGAGGGGCAGGCGGAAUUCCUGGUGUAGCGGUGAAAUGCGUAGAUAUCAGGAGGAACACCGGCGGCGAAGGCGGCCUGCUGGACCGCGACUGACGUUGAGGCUCGAAAGCGUGGGGAGCAAACAGGAUUAGAUACCCCGGUAA